CAGAGGGUGCGAGCGUUGUCCGGAAUCACUGGGCGUAAAGGGCGCGUAGGUGGCGACCCAAGUCGAUGGUGAAAGCUCGCCGCUCAACGGCGAGUCGGCCACCGAUACUGGGUUGCUCGAGCACUGUAGAGGCUAAUGGAAUUCCGGGUGUAGCGGUGGAAUGCGUAGAGAUCCGGAAGAACACCGGUGGCGAAGGCGGUUAGCUGGGCAGUUGCUGACACUGAGGCGCGACAGCGUGGGGAGCAAACAGGAUUAGAUACCCUGGUAGUCCACGCCGUAAACGAUGGGCACUAGAUGCUUGGGGGAGCGACCCCCUGAGUGUCGCCGCUAACGCAUUAAGUGCCCCGCCUGGGGAGUACGGCCGCAAGGCUG
rnacentral:rRNA from 1 species